rnacentral:rRNA from 1 species
GUGCCUACGGGAGGCAGCAGUGGGGAAUAUUGCACAAUGGGCGAAAGCCUGAUGCAGCAACGCCGCGUGAGCGAUGAAGGCCUUCGGGUCGUAAAGCUCUGUCCUCAAGGAAGAUAAUGACGGUACUUGAGGAGGAAGCUCCGGCUAACUACGUGCCAGCAGCCGCGGUAAUACGUAGGGAGCGAGCGUUGUCCGGAAUUACUGGGUGUAAAGGGAGCGUAGGCGGGACUGCAAGUUGGGUGUCAAAUCUACCGGCCCAACCGGUAGCCGCACUCAAAACUGCAGGUCUUGAGUGAAGUA